rnacentral:tRNA from 1 species
GGGGUCUUAGCUUAAUUAAAGUGUUUGGGUUGCAUUCAUAUGAUAUAAGAUAAAAUCUUGUAGGCCUUA